rnacentral:misc_RNA from 1 species
CCCCCCCCCCCCCAGUGGAAGUUGUCUGACAUCAGAGAGGUUUGAACCUUUUCAGAGUUAGAGACUUUCCGAUCUCUAAAAGCUUGUUGAUCUCACACGUCCCGAAACUAGUCAGUUCGAUGGUAUAACACGUUAUUAGAGAUCAAAUAGAAGAUAUUAGAAGCAACGAGCGUUAUUAGAGAUCAAAUAUUUCAGAGCUUCAGAAGUCCUCACACCCUUGAAUGUUUCUUUGCAUCGAGUUCAUGAGUGGAUGAAGCUUUAAUACAGAUAAAAUUGAAUAUUUUUAUAAUUAAAUAACUCGUCUAUCUCGAGACAAAUUUCAGUAUAUGAAGAGCAGCGAACAAUAAACGCAUAUAUUUAAGCUUAACCUGGAUAUUACUGGCCUCGCUGAACAGAAAACAGGACAUCAAAGAUUUACCUUAAGAACGUCUUUGUCAAACGAGCGCCACACUUGGAGUCCAGCGAGUUUCUUGCCGAGAAAUUGUGGGUUAAAUGUACGUUGAUAAGCAAAAUUUCUCAUGUUUCUCGUAAGUGUUUUACUCAGACGUUUACAAGUACGUGUUUCUGUUAUUGGCUACAAAAAUUCGAUGCAAGUUUUGCCACGCCCGCCUGCUGUCUUGGGAGAGUUCAGGCCGCAGUUCUGGCCAAGUUGCCUGUAGUCUCCAGCGGUUGGUACAAAAAGAGAGGAACACCACCAGGAGGAAGGUCUCUCUCUUAGGCAGCACCACCAAGAGGAAAGUCUCUCUGGUAACACCCCCAGGAGGAAGGCCUCUCUGGUAGCACCACCAGGAGCAGGAUAUCUCUCGGACAGCAAGAAGAGCACUACCAGGAGGAAGAUAUCACUUAGGCAGCGAGAGGAGCACCACCAGAAGGAAGAUAUCUCUCGGCCAGCAAGAGGAAGAUAUCUCUCAGGCGGCGAGAGAAGCGUCCCCAGCAGGAGGAUGUGCGGGCUGGGUCAUCUAGGGUGGGUGAUGUGCUUGUUGACGGUGACCCUGCGGGCCGGGCAGGCGACAGGUCAGGAGUUCCUCUUCACGGAGCACUCUUGCAAGGAUCUCGUGCCCAGGCACCGCGACGCUAUUAGAAUGGCCCCAGGCGAUAAAAACAAGACCAACCACGUGAAGGCUCAGAGCGGCGGCACCAAUGACACGACGGAGGCCCCGACGGAGACCCCGACGGAGCCUCCGUCUCUUCCAGCGGCUCAGGAGUACUCUGGGGACAUGGACGUGGAGGUUCUCACCAGUGAGACUAGCUACAGAAGACUCAAGAGUCUGAUAGUAACUCUGCAGUCACCGAUCUACUUCAACGGGUUCAUGGUGCAGGCCCGCAAGGUGGGGGAGGAGAGUGGCGGGGAGAUGGUAGUGGUGGUGGGGAGGUUCACCAACAUCCCCCACAGGGGGAAGUACCUGAGCUGCCCCAACGGGGACCGGCCAGAGAACACGGUGGUCAGCGAGGACGCCCCGCUCAGGAUGACCAACCUCACCUUCGUCUGGCUCGCGCCUCACACCGACUUGGGAAACAUCCAGUUUGUAGCGAGCAUCCUGUACAAUGGAGGCACGGAGUACAAGAGCUACAGCUCGUCCCAGCUGAGCCUCAACAUGUACCCCGUAUCCACGAAGGAGUGCGCUGUUGCCAAGAGCUGCUUCCGCUACUGCACGAAGGAAGGCGGGAGGCAGUGCGAGGCGCACAUGUCACAAUAUGUGGCAACGCUGGAAUAUAUCGGAAACACCACAAGCGUUAGAAUUACCAUCGGCGGCCAGCUGCCCCAACCUGAGGGGUACCUGGCUGUGGCCUUCAGCAAGGACCCCGAGAGACUGAAGAACGCAGACAUCGCUGCGUGUUAUCGCACAGAGAACACCGAGGAGAACACCGUCAAGCUAGAACACUACCUUCUCAAGGACAUCAGCUUCAUGCCCGACCUCCACCUGGGGGUGCUGGAGCUGGAGUCGUGGGACGUGGACGGGGACUUCGUGUGGUGCACCUUCAGCAGACCCAUCACCGGCCAGCAGGACAACAGGCUGGACCUGCAGGAGCCCCAGUACUACUACUACUUCUGGGGCUCCAGGAACGGCUCCACCAUCUCUCUGCCGCCGAUGGGUCAGAUGAAGAGAUCCCCCAGGAAGAUCAGCACCAAGGACAAGCCUUUCAACCAGAUCGACUACAGCAGCGGCGCCGGAAAACAGCGCUCCCCGUAUACCAUAGUUGCCGCUGUUGUCCUCCUCCUCAGUGUCCAUUUUCUUUGUUGGUGAAAGUUCAAGAACAUCCGAGAGAGAUCCGUGUUCACUCGCUUGGUCGUAUUCGCCAUCUAUUUCCUCAUUGUGUCGUAUUCUACGUUUUUGAUCAAUCUCUUUAUCGUCGGAAAGACAUACGAGGACGAGAGAAAUGUGUUUUAAGAGAUAGAAAUGUAGAAUGUUGCAUUAAGCUUCGGAUAUUUGUUUUUUGUUUACAUUGAUGCCGUGAUUACAAAGGGUGGUAGGCCUACGUGGAGUAUGGAGAACAACGGUAGGUCCACGUGGAUAGACAACAGUGGUAGGCCUACGUUGAUAGCAAUAGCGAUUGACCAAAGUAGAGGAUGGACACCCCCCCCUUGGGCUCAUGACAUUGUUCUGAAAAGAGUAUAU